AACACUACGUGUUUGGUGUGUAAAUCCUUUUAUUGGGAGAUUGCAACGCAAGCACGCAAUAAAAGAUUGGAACGAAAAGCGGAAAAAUGG
rnacentral:sRNA from 1 species